CCAAUACCCGUUCCCGUACGAUUAUUGAAGUUAAGCAAUCACGAGCCUGAUCAGUAUCUAGAUGGGUGACCGGUUGAGAAUACCAGGUGCU